rnacentral:rRNA from 1 species
UACGUAGGGUGCAAGCGUUGUCCGGAAUUAUUGGGCGUAAAGAGCUCGUAGGCGGUCUGUCGCGUCGGCUGUGAAAACCUGGGGCUUAACUCCGGGCCUGCAGCCGAUACGGGCAGACUAGAGUUCGGCAGGGGAGACUGGAAUUCCUGGUGUAGCGGUGAAAUGCGCAGAUAUCAGGAGGAACACCGAUGGCGAAGGCAGGUCUCUGGGCUGUAACUGACGCUGAGGAGCGAAAGCAUGGGGAGCGAACAGG